AUCAAGUCACAAAGUCACUUAAUAUUUUCGCAUGCCGUUCAUUGUAAUUUCCUCAAAUUUCCCCAGUCAAAGUGACGUGACAGUACAAAAAAACCCAAACCUUUCAUUAUCUUACCCGAAACACUUCCUUGUCAUCGCAUUGCAUUUUUGAAGAUCUUUUAUUUGGGUAUGCCAGCUAUACCAUGAGUAUUGAAAACCGGUCAUACAAGUUUCAUAGCAUGCGCUCACAUUUCAUUCAUAUAGGGGGUUGGGGUUUUGGAACUCUCACACUCACGUUGAAUCAUAACUUUCCAAAUUACGUUGGGGAUUUUUUAAAAUGUUUUCAGUGUGACUGCUUUAUUUUUAUUGCUGUGCCUGUAUGGCAGGGAAUGUUGUUUUUUCCUGCCUUUAUCCUUUAAUAUGCCUCUAGUGUCCUGAGUCUAACCAGCUACUAUUUAUUGGGGGCCAUUUAUUACUUAUUAAGACCAAACAUCUUUAUCAGGUGUCCAGUUAUCAUACUUCGCUUAUCAGAUGGAUGCUGAAAACGUUUGGCAACAGCAUCUGUAAUUAAUCAGAGCCCAAAAAAAGAAAGGCUUUUUUGAGUUUCAGGAUCGGUUGUGGAUCAAUUGUUUUUUGGGGGGAAUGUUCAUGUUCAUAACCUGUUUAUUUCAUGUAUUCAUCCUUUUGGUCAUUGUUUCCCUCAUCCAUCUGAGUCUUAUUUUAAUGUUAGCUUUUUUUUUAUUAUUAUUAUUGAAAAUCAUUCCACUAAAGGAGCUUUAUACAAGAAUGAAAAUCCUGUUCUUUCUAUUUGUCAUUUAGAUUCUAUUUAUUUCCUAUUUCUUGAAAAAGACAUUUUGAAUUUUGUAGUAUUUUGUUAUUCAUGCAGUUGAUACCAUAAUUGUCAUUUAAUCGCUGUUCCAUUAACAGGGAAAUGGAAACCGCUUCAUGAAAUGGAAAAAUAAACUCUUGAUUUAAAAUUCA